UACGAAGGGUGCAAACGUUGCUCGGAAUUAUUGGGCGUAAAGCGCACGUAGGCGGCUUGGCAAGUCGGAUGUGAAAUCCCUCGGCUCAACCCAGGAAGUGCAUUCGAAACUGCAGAGCUGGAGUCCUGGAGAGGAAGGCGGAAUUCUCGGUGUAGAGGUGAAAUUCGUAGAUAUCGAGAGGAACACCGGUGGCGAAGGCGGCCUUCUGGACAGUGACUGACGCUGAGACGCGAAAGCGUGGGGAGCAAACAGG
rnacentral:rRNA from 1 species